UACGUAGGCAGCAAGCGUUGUUCGGAAUUACUGGGCGUAAAGAGUGUGUAGGCGGUGCUCUAAGUUCGGUGUGAAAUCUCCCGGCUCAACUGGGAGGGUGCGCCGGAAACUGGAAUGCUUGAGCGUGGGAGAGGAAAGCGGAAUUCCUGGUGUAGCGGUGAAAUGCGUAGAUAUCAGGAGGAACACCUGCGGUGUAGACGGCUUUCUGGACCAUUGCUGACGCUGAGACGCGAAAGCUAGGGUAGCGAACGGG
rnacentral:rRNA from 1 species